rnacentral:lncRNA from 1 species
CGCCGCCGCUGCCAACCCGGAAGGAGCCCGGAGGGGCCCGGGCGGCCAGGGCGCCCCCGCCAGGAGGCCCGCCAGGUGUCCACCUGAGCCCCACGCCCUGCGCCGCGGGGCCCUUUUGGGGGCGGGGUGCCAGCUCCGAGGUGUCCUCCCACGGGCUGUAGACUGGGAAACUGAGGCCCGGGCCACGGUCCCAGACGCAGCCGGGACCCGAACCCACCUCACCUGAGCGAAUGAUAUCCGGGACUCAUCCUUUUUCGACACCUUUGCGGGAUCCAGCCCUCCAAGGAAAGCUUCCUGAGCAGUGCGCGCCACGUGUAUUGGGCACCUCACCGCGGCCACUUCACAUCCUAUCUCAGGUGGAGAAACUAAGCCACAGAAAGGAGCUGUCAUUUACCUAAAGCACCGUGGCAGGGGUUUGGCAGAGCCAGGAUUUGUACCCAGAUCGCCUGACUUCGGAGAGUAACAGCUCUUAACCACAGCACUUCGGUCUAUGCCUUGAUUUCACCAUAUGUAACAAGCAGCUGUGCCACUUUGCAUUCCCACCAGCAGCACGCAAGCGUUCGAAUUUCUCCGCACGCUCCCCAACAGGACAAGAGCUUGCCGUGUUGCCCCAGGCUGGUCUCAAACUCCUAGCCUCAAGCAAACUUCCUGUCUCGGCCUUUCAAAACCCUGAGAUUACAAGCAUAAGAAAAGAAAAUCUUGUAAGAUGAAAGCUGAAGGAUGAGAGCAAUUAAUUGAUGAAGUAUGAUGAUCCAGGUGUCCCUGGGUGAAGAAACAACCUCUACAAAGGCCCUGAGGGUCUCGCUCAUCACCAGGCUGGAGUACAGUGACAUGAUCA